ensembl:snRNA U6 U6 spliceosomal RNA
GUGCUCACCUUGGCAGCACAUAUACUACAAUUGGAACGAUACAGAGAAGAUUAGCAUGGCCCCUGUGCAUGGAUGACACACAAAUUCAUGAAGCAUCUCAUAUUUUU